rnacentral:rRNA from 1 species
UACGUAGGGCGCAAGCGUUAUCCGGAAUUAUUGGGCGUAAAGAGCUCGUAGGCGGUUUGUCGCGUCUGCUGUGAAAGCCCGGGGCUCAACCCCGGGUCUGCAGUGGGUACGGGCAGACUAGAGUGCAGUAGGGGAGACUGGAAUUCCUGGUGUAGCGGUGAAAUGCGCAGAUAUCAGGAGGAACACCGGUGGCGAAGGCGGGUCUCUGGGCAACAACUGACGUUGAGGAGCGAAAGCGUGGGGAGCAAACAGG